rnacentral:rRNA from 1 species
UACAGAGGGGGCAAGCGUUGUUCGGAAUUACUGGGCGUAAAGGGCGCGUAGGCGGCCUGUUAAGUCGAACGUGAAAUCCCUGGGCUCAACCCAGGAACUGCGUCCGAUACUGGCAGGCUUGAAUUCGGGAGAGGGAUGCGGAAUUCCAGGUGUAGCGGUGAAAUGCGUAGAUAUCUGGAGGAACACCGGUGGCGAAGGCGGCAUCCUGGACCGAUAUUGACGCUGAGGCGCGACAGCGUGGGGAGCAAACAGG